CCCACAAAAAUUUUGCCUUGUUUUCCUUCUUUCAAGAGAUAAAUUAUAACUGUGGAUAAAAAGGUAGGCUUGUCUAAGAAUGUUCAUAAUGACUUGUGCAAACCUUGGAACCUUCUUAGAUGAAUGCUCCACACAAAGUGUUCAAUCCAUCAUAGGCUUGUACCGCUUUGUAUUUACUGCCAUCAAAAACUCGGGAUCCUCUACUAUGCGAUGUUUUCACCGU
rnacentral:lncRNA from 1 species